AUUGAAGCACCAGUUCCCAUACAAAUGCUGAAGUUAAGCAAUGUUGAGACUGGUCAGUACCUAUAUGGGUGACCGUUUGGGAAUACUGGGUGCUGUAA